UGAUAGGAUUAUGGGAUUGGAUUUACCAUCUGGUGGACAUUUAACUCAUGGUUAUUAUACUUCUGGUGGGAAGAAAAUUUCUGCUACUUCGAUUUAUUUUGAGAGUUUGCCUUAUAAGGUGAAUUCAACAAAUGGAUAUAUUGAUUAUGAUAGGUUGGAAGAGAAGGCUUUGGAUUUUAGGCCUAAAUUGAUUAUUUGUGGUGGUAGUGCUUAUCCUAGAGAUUGGGAUUAUAAGAGAUUUAGAGAAAUUGCUGAUAAAUGUGGGGCCCUUUUGCUUUGUGAUAUGGCUCACAUUAGUGGUCUUGUUGCUGCUCAGG
rnacentral:lncRNA from 1 species